AUGGCACUGCCGCCGCGACACACCACCUCGCCACCACCGAUCAUACAGCAAAUGGUGAAUUUGUUGCGGGUUGUGAGAGGUUUAUUAGCCUUGAAAAUCAAUUUCCAGCAGACUGAACAAGAAAACUUGACUCAACAAACCAAUGACAACACAAGGGGGAUAAGUGAUUAUAUAGAGGCAACUCAGCUUCAUCUACUCUGUUUAUCAAUGAUAUUUGAUUUGAAGAAUUAA